UACGUAGGGUGCAAGCGUUAAUCGGAAUUACUGGGCGUAAAGCGUGCGCAGGCGGCUUUGCAAGACAGAUGUGAAAUCCCCGGGCUUAACUUGGGAAUUGCGCUCGAAACUACGGUGCUGGAGUGUGGCAGAGGGAGGUGGAAUUCCACGUGUAGCGGUGAAAUGCGUAGAGAUGUGGAGGAACACCGAUGGCGAAGGCAGCCUCCUGGGCCAACACUGACGCUCAUGCACGAAAGCGUGGGGAGCAAACAGG
rnacentral:rRNA from 1 species